rnacentral:sRNA from 1 species
UCUAGGUCAAAAUGCUGUACAUCACGUG